rnacentral:lncRNA from 1 species
CAGCUGUUGAGGAUUGUUUUAAUAUGUGAACAAAAAAGAGGUUAACAGAUCUGUUUGUUUACUUUCACCUUUCCUUUUCAUUAUAUUUAAUAAUUCUGUUCAGGAUAAUGUAAAUUGUUCAGAAAAUUGUUUUCUUAAUGCCUUCUGGAAUGUUACAUAAUUUUUUUCUUUAGCCAUUAUAGCCAGAAUCCCUAUCUUCAUCCCAGUGCUGGUGAAGACAAAGAUAAAACCAAUCUACAGCUUCUGCAAUAGCCAUCACUGAACUGCUUGCAGAACUUGCCUGGACUAUGUAUCACUUGUAUGCAUUGUGAACUCACUUGUAUGCAUUGUGAACUAUCUGUUGGUGCAGCGACUUGUGGUAGUGUUGGGGUAUUUUUGCUGAUGAUGUCAUCUGUGGUACAAUUUUUCCAAAAGGAGCCGUCAAUUGGCUUGGUGUAUCUUCCUCCCUUCUGCUUGUCAUGGUCAUUCAGCUAAAAUUUGGGGGCCAACAGAGGUGAGGCAAAGAACCUCACCACCCCCCCACUGGUACAAAGACCUAUCCACCAGGUGUGGCUGUAUGGUGGACCAGUAGUCAAUGACGGGUAAGAUCCAAUUGCAAUGGUACCAACCUAAGACAGGAGGCUGACGCCUUGAGGUCAGCUCAUCGGAUAACGGGUAAGGACCAUAUGUACUAUUGGACAACCUAAGGCAGGCACGGUCCCUAAGCCACAUGCUUGUUGUUUAAACAGAGAGGGGGAGAUGUUGAGAGCCACAGCCGAAGGGGCCCCAGCAAACUUCCAGCUGCCAGCAAACUUCCAGCUGCCAGCUGAUGAUUGGCUCACAGCGGCCCCAGCAAACUUCCAGCUGCCAACUGAUUGGCUCCUCUGCGGUGAUGCUCAUUGGGCUGUUUCCCCACCCUUUCAGACCACAGAGCUGCUCAUUGGGGGACUUUUUUGGCUCCGCCCACGUGACCCAGCC